rnacentral:rRNA from 1 species
CCUACGGGAGGCUGCAGUGGGGAAUAUUGCACAAUGGGGGAAACCCUGAUGCAGCGACGCCGCGUGAGUGAAGAAGUAUUUCGGUAUGUAAAGCUCUAUCAGCAGGGAAGAAACCCACCCUCCGGGGUGGAUGACGGUACCUGACUAAGAAGCCCCGGCUAACUACGUGCCAGCAGCCGCGGUAAUAAGAAGGGGGCAAGCGUUAUCCGGAUUUACUGGGUGUAAAGGGAGAGUAGGUGGCAAUGCAAGUCAGAUGUGAAAACCCGGGGCCCAACCCCGGGAGUGCAUUUGAAACGGUCUGGCUAGAGUGCAGGAGAGGUAAGUGGAAUUCCUAGUGUAGCGGUGAAAUGCAUAGAUAUUAGGAGGAACACCAGUGGCGAAGGCGGCUUACUGGACUGUAACUGACACUGAGGCUCGAAAGCGUGGGGAGCAAACAGGAUUAGAUACCCCAGUAGUC